AAAUGAAUUGACGGGGGCUCGCACAAGCGGUGGAACAUGAGGUUUAAUUCGACGAUAAGCGAAAAACCUUACCAGGGUUCACCCUAUUAGAACCCCGCGGAAACGUGGGGGUGCCUUCGGGAGCUAAUAGGUCGGUGAUGCACGGUUGUCGUCAGCUCGUGCCGUGAGGUGUCCCGUUAAGUCGGUCAACGAGCGCAACCCUUGCUCUGUGUUACUCCGGCAUCACGUCGGAGGUCUCACUGAGGACUGCCUCGCCUAUUGAGCGGGGAGGAAGGUGGGGAUGACGUCAAAUCAGCGUGUCCCUUAUGCCCUGGGCAACACUCGUGUUACAAUGGUCAGCAACAACGGGUUGCAAGUCCGUGAGGACAAGCUAAUCCCUGAAAUCUGGCCUCAGUUCGAAUUGCAGGCUGAAACUCGCCUGCAUGAAGCCGGAAUCGCUAGUAACCGUGGAUCAGAACGCCACGGUGAAUACGUUCUCGAGCCUUGUACACACCGCCCGU
rnacentral:rRNA from 1 species